AUUGAACGCUGGCGGCAGGCCUAACACAUGCAAGUCGAACGAGUGGCGGACGGGUGAGUAAGUUCUGGGAAACUGCCUGAUGGAGGGGGAUAACUAAUGGAAACGGUAGCUAAUACCGCAUACCCUAGGAUGUGCCCAGAUGGGAUUAGCUAGUAGGUGGGGUAACGGCUCACCUAGGCGACGAUCCCUAGCUGGUCUGAGAGGAUGACCAGCCAGCCUGGAACUGAGACACGGUCCAGACUCCUACGGGAGGCAGCAGUGGGGAAUAUUGCACAAUGGGCGCAAGCCUGAUGCAGCCAUGCCGCGUGUAUGAAGAAGGCCUUCGGGUUGUAAAGUACUUUCAGCGGGGAGGCGUUACCCGCAGAAGAAGCACCGGCUAACUCCGUGCCAGCCGCCGCGGUAAUAC
rnacentral:rRNA from 1 species